rnacentral:rRNA from 1 species
GAUGAACGCUGGCGGCGUGCUUAACACAUGCAAGUCGAACGAAGCACUUUAGUUGAUCCCCUCGGGGUGAUUCUAAAGUGACUUAGUGGCGGACGGGUGAGUAACGCGUGGGUAACCUGCCUUGUACAGGGGGAUAACAGUUAGAAAUGACUGCUAAUACCGCAUAACCCGCUAAGGUCGCAUGACCUAGACGGAAAAGAUUUAUCGGUACAAGAUGGACCCGCGUCUGAUUAGCUAGUUGGUGAGGUAACGGCUCACCAAGGCGACGAUCAGUAGCCUGCCUGGGAGGGUAACCGGCCACAUUGGAAGUGAUACACGGCCCAAACUCCUACGGGAGGCAGCAGUGGGGAAUAUUGCACAAUGGGGGAAACCCUGAUGCAGCAACGCCGCGUGAGUGAAGAAGUAUUUCGGUAUGUAAAGCUCUAUCAGCAGGGAAGAAAAUGACGGUACCUGACUAAGAAGCCCCGGCUAACUACGUGCCAGCAGCCGCCGUAAAAC